rnacentral:tRNA from 1 species
GCGAGAGUAGCUCAGUUGGUAGAGCAUCAGCCUUCCAAGCUGAGGGCCGCGGGUUCGAAUCCCGUCUCUCGCU